GUACGCAGCUGUUCUGUUGUCAGCUGGGCCUGCAGACAGCGACCGUCAGGUGAUCAAAUCACCAGCUGUGUUGUUGUUGAGAGUGCGUCAAACAAGAGCAAUGACGCAGAGACUGGGCCGGUCGUUGUGAAAGUUCAGGCGGUGGUACCAUAAACGAGAUGCAGAUUUUUGUUUGUCUAUUAUCGAAAUAAUGUUAUAAAAAAUUCAACUCAUCUAAAAAUUUCGGACAGAAAUAAACUACCAGUAAAAUAUACAGCAUCAAUGCACUUUAAGACAAGAGCCAAGUGAAGUGUUAAAGCAAGGACAAGUGGUCGGCUGCUAUCUGGAACACGUCUCUGCCAUUACCACUACAAACAGAGAUAAGCCCGGGUCUUGCUGGCCAGAAGACAACGCUAUUGUUCGAUAGUGACCCUACACUGGACUUUGUCCCCACGAUAUCUCCUAAACACACCAUCACGGACCUUCCAGGAGCCUACUUUCUAGCCGUUCUUCACGGAGGUCAACAAAGAUGUUUGAACACUUUGUCUCCAAAUAAGCUAUAAGGAAAACUGACGACAGAUAAGAUAACUUAUUUCUUUAAAUUCUACAAAGCGCGAUAGCAGCUCUUUAAACAAUAUGUUAUUUAUGGAAUAACUGUAAAUCUUAUCCCAUGAUGUAGAUUGGUUCAAAUAAAUAACUUGAUGAUCCUGAUUUAAAA
rnacentral:lncRNA from 1 species